CGGGGUGCAGCAGGCGCGAAAACUUUACACUGUGGGAAACCGUGAUAAGGGGACACCGAGUGCCAGCAUCAUAUGCUGGCUGUCCGGGUGUGUAAAAUACACCCGUUAGCAAGGGCCGGGCAAGACCGGUGCCAGCCGCCGCGGUAACACCGGCGGCCCGAGUGGUGAUCGUGAUUAUUGGGUCUAAAGGGUCCGUAGCCGGUUUGGUCAGUCCUCCGGGAAAUCUGACGGCUCAACCGUUAGGCUUUCGGGGGAUACUGCCAGGCUUGGAACCGGGAGAGGUAAGAGGUACUACAGGGGUAGGAGUGAAAUCUUGUAAUCCCUGUGAGACCACCUGUGGCGAAGGCGUCUUACCAGAACGGGUUCGACGGUGAGGGACGAAAGCUGGGGGCACGAACCGGAUUAGAUACCCGGGUAGUCCCAGCCGUAAACGAUGCUCGCUAGGUGUCAGGCAUGGCGCGACCGUGUCUGGUGCCGCAGGGAAGCCGUGAAGCGAGCCACCUGGGAAGUACGGCCGCAAGGCUGAAACUUAAAGGAAUUGGCGGGGGAGCAC
rnacentral:rRNA from 1 species